rnacentral:rRNA from 1 species
AAAAAGCNCAAAUUUUUUUGAAAGACGAGAAGACCCUAUAGAGUUUAAUUAAUUAUAUAUAUAUAUAAUUUUUAGUAUUUUAAUUUUAUAUUAAAAAUUAAUUUAAUUGGGGUGAUUGAAAAAUUUAAUAAACUUUUUUUUUANNUUUAACAUUGAUUUAUGGUUAUUUGAUCCUAAUUUAGAUUAAAAGAUAAAAUUACCUUAGGGAUAACAGCGUAAUUUUUCUAGAGAGUUCUAAUCGAAAGAAAAGAUUGCGACCUCGAUGUUGGAUUAAAA